GUGGUAAAAUAAACAGUUCAAACUGCAAGCAACUGCACAGAUGAACAUCAGGAACAUAAUACUGAGUAGAAAAAACUCACGAAAAAUAUAUACAGUAUGAUCCCACUUAUAGAAGAUUUAAGAAAAUAGAAAAGGAAACAAGAAACUAUUUAAAAACACAAACAUAGUGGUUACUCCUGAGGGGGUAAGUAAAGCAGUCAGAUCAGGGAAGUGCAAAGGAAACAAUAAGUCUUUUUUUCUUAAGCUUGGUGGUGGUUUCAUUGGUUUUCAUUGUAAUGUUAUUUUUUAUACCUUACACAUAUUUUAUGAAUUUUUUUUAAUCUACUUUUUUUUUUUUUUUUUUUUUGAGAUGAGGUCUGUUCUGUUGCCCAGGCUGGAGGGCAGUGGCGCUAUCCUAGUUCACUGUAGCCUCAGACUCCUGGGCUCAUGCAAUCCUCCCAACUCACCCUUCUGAGUAACUGGGACUACAGGUGCACAUCACCACGCCUGGCUAAUUUUUUGUAUUUUUUUGUAGAGAUGGGAUCUCACUAUGUUGCACAGGCUGGUGUUGAACUCCUGGGCUCAAGUGAUCCUCCAACCUUGGCUUCCCAACGUGCUGGGAUUAUAGGUAGGAGCCACUGUGCUUUGCCUCUAAAAUG
rnacentral:lncRNA from 1 species